rnacentral:misc_RNA from 1 species
AGCAGCCGCGGUAAUUCCAGCUCCAAUAGCGUAUAUUAAAGUUGUUGCAGUUAAAAAGCUCGUAGUUGAAUUUCGGGAUCAAAGAAUCGGUCAUGCCUUGGUAUGUACUGGUUUUAUUGGUUCUCACCUUCUAAAGAACCAUGAUGUCAUUCAUUUGAUGUUAUGGGGAAUUAGGACUGUUACCUUGAAAAAUUAGAGUGUUUAAAGCAAGCUUACGCUUGAAUACAUUAGCAUGGAAUAAUGAAAUAGGACAUCAGAUUCUAUUUUGUUGGUUUCUAGGAUCGAUGUAAUGAUUAAUAGGGAUAGUUGGGGGCAUUAGUAUUCAAUUGUCAGAGGUGAAAUUCUUGGAUUUAUUGAAGACUAACUACUGCGAAAGCAUUUGCCAAGGAUGUUUUCAUUAAUCAAGAACGAAAGUUAGGGGAUCGAAGACGAUCAGAUACCGUCGUAGUCUUAAACCAUAAAACUA